CGGGUGAGUAAUGUCUGGGAAACUGCCUGAUGGAGGGGGAUAACUGCUGGAAACGGUAGCUAAUACCGCAUAACGUCGCAAGACCAAAGUGGGGGACCUUCGGGCCUCUUGCCAUCGGAUGUGCCCAGAUGGGAUUAGCUAGUAGGUGGGGUAACGGCUCACCUAGGCGACGAUCCCUAGCUGGUCUGAGAGGAUGGCCAGCCACACUGGAACUGAGACACGGUCCAG
rnacentral:rRNA from 1 species